AUUAACGUACAUAAUCGUAAUACAUACAUUUUCAAACUUAUUACACAAUAAAGAAACUUCUCAACUUAAUUGUGUAAGCUCAACUUAAUUCAGUUAUAUGUGUAUUAAUAAGUGCCACUGUCAUAGUGCACGAUAACAUAAACAUUAAAUAUCACCAGCACCCUCGGGAGUCCAUAUAGGCUUUCGAGCCAUCAUCAUGAUCUCAUACAUAACAUUUUUCAUAUAAGAUGCCCAAAUAUUGGCAAUAUCAACAUAAACAUGUUCAUCAUCUAUAAACAUAACAUAACGUAAAGACCAACUCGUCAGCGGAACGUGAUCGACCCUCUAGGCAUCAAGUGGCUACUAGACACCUACCAAAGAAUAAAGACUGGACACUGGUAUCUGCAACACUAGCAGCUGUUAGACGUUGUCACUGAUCUAUAAUAAAAUAAAUUGAAAAAAUAAUGUGUGAGUCACAAAGACUUCAUGAGUGGAUACGGGAAGGGGACAAGCAAGGGGAUAAGAGUAUUUCAUAACCAUGCAUUUAUAAACUCAUGCCAUUCAUAACUUCUUAAUUAUAAAGUUCAUGAUACAUGUCAUUUAAACUCAUUUAAAUACCUCUCAUUUGAAAACAAACUUAUAUAACUUUAUAAAUCCUUUACUUUUAAAAUCUUCAUCAAAUUCACUCAAACAUCUUUUUCUGUACCAUAUCUAUCGAUAGAUUAUUGAAUGUAUUGAUACUUCAAGCAUCUAUCGAUUCAUUGGUAAAAUGUAUCGAUAUAUUUCACAUAAAAAGCCUCUUAUGGAAAUUUGUUUAGAAUGUAUCGAUACAUGCUCCAUAUGUAUCUAUAUUUUGAACAUAGAAACCAAUUUUCUAGACAAUUUCAACAUUUUUGCCAUUCCUUAAGUCCUCUUACAUCUUGGGAACUAUCUUUAAGGCUCAAUUCUUUUCACUAAGUACAUUCCCAUGCCAUCAUAAGGUAUAAACCAUAAACACUACUCAAAUGAACUCAACAUACAACAUACCAUAAACAUAACAAUCAUAAUCAUUUCAUUAACAUUAAAACUCACACAUUGUGAUGGUUUGAUGCGCAUCAACCUUAGGCUGACAGCGUAUAUC
rnacentral:lncRNA from 1 species